rnacentral:rRNA from 1 species
AUUGAACGCUGGCGGCAGGCCUAACACAUGCAAGUCGAACGAGUGGCGGACGGGUGAGUAAUGUCUGGGAAACUGCCCGACGGAGGGGGAUAACUACUGGAAACGGUAGCUAAUACAGCAUACCAUCGGAUGUGCCCAGAUGGGAUUAGCUAGUAGGUGGGGGAAUGGCUCACCUAGGCGACGAUCAAUAGCUGGUCUGAGAGGAUGAACAGCCACACUGGAACGGAGACACGGUCCAGAUUCCUACGGUAGGCAGCAUUGAGGAAUAUUGCACAAUGGGCGCAAUCCUGAAGCAGCCAUGCCGCGGGUAUGAAGGAGGCCUUCGGGUUGUAAAGUACUGUCAGCGAGGAGACGUUACUCGCAGAAGAAGCACCGGCUAACUCCGUGCCAGCCGCCGCGGUAAUUC